rnacentral:rRNA from 1 species
GGUGUGACUGCGUACCUUUUGUAUAAUGGGUCAGCGACUUAUAUUCUGUAGCAAGGUUAACCGUAUAGGGGAGCCGCAGGGAAACCGAGUCUUAACUGGGCGUUAAGUUGCAGGGUAUAGACCCGAAACCCGGUGAUCUAGCCAUGGGCAGGUUGAAGGUUGGGUAACACUAACUGGAGGACCGAACCGACUAAUGUUGAAAAAUUAGCGGAUGACUUGUGGCUGGGGGUGAAAGGCCAAUCAAACCGGGAGAUAGCUGGUUCUCCCCGAAAGCUAUUUAGGUAGCGCCUCGUGAACUCAUCUUCGGGGGUAGAGCACUGUUUCGGCUAGGGGGUCAUCCCGACUUACCAACCCGAUGCAAACUACGAAUACCGAAGAAUGUUAUCACGGGAGACACACGGCGGGUGCUAACGUCCGUCGUGAAGAGGGAAACAACCCAGACCGCCAGCUAAGGUCCCAAAGUCAUGGUUAAGUGGGAAACGAUGUGGGAAGGCACAGACAGCCAGGAUGUUGGCUUAGAAGCAGCCAUCAUUUAAAGAAAGCGUAAUAGCUCACUGGUCGAGUCGGCCUGCGCGGAAGAUGUAACGGGGCUAAACCAUGCACCGAAGCUGCGGCAGCGACACUAUGUGUUGUUGGGUAGGGGAGCGUUCUGUAAGCCUGCGAAGGUGACCUGUGAGGGUUGCUGGAGGUAUCAGAAGUGCGAAUGCUGACAUAAGUAACGAUAAAGCGGGUGAAAAGCCCGCUCGCCGGAAGACCAAGGGUUCCUGUCCAACGUUAAUCGGGGCAGGGUGAGUCGACCCCUAAGGCGAGGCCGAAAGGCGUAGUCGAUGGGAAACAGGUUAAUAUUCCUGUACUUGGUGUUACUGCGAAGGGGGGACGGAGAAGGCUAUGUUAGCCGGGCGACGGUUGUCCCGGUUUAAGCAUGUAGGCUGGUUAUCCAGGCAAAUCCGGAUAAUCAAGGCUGAGGUGUGAUGACGAGGCACUACGGUGCUGAAGUAACAAAUGCCCUGCUUCCAGGAAAAGCCUCUAAGCAUCAGGUAACACGAAAUCGUACCCCAAACCGACACAGGUGGUCAGGUAGAGAAUACCAAGGCGCUUGAGAGAACUCGGGUGAAGGAACUAGGCAAAAUGGUGCCGUAACUUCGGGAGAAGGCACGCUGGUGUGUAGGUGAAGUCCCUGCGGAUGGAGCUGAGACCAGUCGAAGAUACCAGCUGGCUGCAACUGUUUAUUAAAAACACAGCACUGUGCAAACACGAAAGUGGACGUAUACGGUGUGACGCCUGCCCGGUGCCGGAAGGUUAAUUGAUGGGGUUAUCCGUAAGGAGAAGCUCUUGAUCGAAGCCCCGGUAAACGGCGGCCGUAACUAUAACGGUCCUAAGGUAGCGAAAUUCCUUGUCGGGUAAGUUCCGACCUGCACGAAUGGCGUAAUGAUGGCCAGGCUGUCUCCACCCGAGACUCAGUGAAAUUGAACUCGCUGUGAAGAUGCAGUGUACCCGCGGCAAGACGGAAAGACCCCGUGAACCUUUACUAUAGCUUGACACUGAACAUUGAGCCUUGAUGUGUAGGAUAGGUGGGAGGCUUUGAAGCGUGGACGCCAGUCUGCGUGGAGCCAACCUUGAAAUACCACCCUUUAAUGUUUGAUGUUCUAACGUUGGCCCCUUACCGGGGUUGCGGACAGUGUCUGGUGGGUAGUUUGACUGGGGCGGUCUCCUCCCAAAGCGUAACGGAGGAGCACGAAGGUUAGCUAAUCCUGGUCGGACAUCAGGAGGUUAGUGCAAUGGCAUAAGCUAGCUUGACUGCGAGCGUGACGGCGCGAGCAGGUGCGAAAGCAGGUCAUAGUGAUCCGGUGGUUCUGAAUGGAAGGGCCAUCGCUCAACGGAUAAAAGGUACUCCGGGGAUAACAGGCUGAUACCGCCCAAGAGUUCAUAUCGACGGCGGUGUUUGGCACCUCGAUGUCGGCUCAUCACAUCCUGGGGCUGAAGUAGGUCCCAAGGGUAUGGCUGUUCGCCAUUUAAAGUGGUACGCGAGCUGGGUUUAGAACGUCGUGAGACAGUUCGGUCCCUAUCUGCCGUGGGCGCUGGAGAAUUGAGGGGGGCUGCUCCUAGUACGAGAGGACCGGAGUGGACGCAUCACUGGUGUUCGGGUUGUCAUGCCAAUGGCACUGCCCGGUAGCUAAAUGCGGAAGAGAUAAGUGCUGAAAGCAUCUAAGCACGAAACUUGCCCCGAGAUGAGUUCUCCCUGAGACUUUAAGUCUCCUGAAGGAACGUUGAAGACGACGACGUUGAUAGGCCGGGUGUGUAAGCGCAGCGAUGCGUUGAGCUAACCGGUACUAAUGAACCGUGAGGCUUAACCUUACAACGCCGAAG